GACGAACGCUGGCGGCGUGCUUAACACAUGCAAGUCGAACGGAAAGGCCCUGCUUUUGUGGGGUGCUCGAGUGGCGAACGGGUGAGUAACACGUGGGUAACCUGCCCUUGACUUUGGGAUAACUUCAGGAAACUGGGGCUAAUACCGGAUAGGAGCUCCUGCUGCAUGGUGGGGGGUUGGAAAGUUUCGGCGGUUGGGGAUGGACUCGCGGCUUAUCAGCUUGUUGGUGGGGUAGUGGCUUACCAAGGCUUUGACGGGUAGCCGGCCUGAGAGGGUGACCGGCCACAUGGGGACUGAGAGACGGCCCAGACGCCUACGGGAGGCAGCAGUGGGGAAUAUUGCACAAUGGGCGGAGGCCUGAUGCAGCAACGCCGCGUGCGGGAUGACGGCCUUCGGGUUGUAAACCGCUUUCGCCUGUGACGAAGCGUGAGGGACGGUAAUGGGUAAAGAAGCACCGGCUAACUACGU
rnacentral:rRNA from 1 species